UACAGAGGGUGCGAACGUUGCUCGGAAUUACUGGGCGUAAAGCGCGUGUAGGCGGGUCCGCAAGUCAGAUGUGAAAGCCCCGGGCUCAACUCGGGAACUGCAUCUGAAACUGCGAGCCUUGAGUACCGGAGAGGGUGGCGGAAUUCCUGGUGUAGAGGUGAAAUUCGUAGAUAUCAGGAGGAACACCGGUGGCGAAGGCGGCCACCUGGACGGUAACUGACGCUGAGACGCGAAAGCGUGGGGAGCAAACAGG
rnacentral:rRNA from 1 species